CAGUCUUCGGCGGGCACCACUUUUCCAUCCACCACUUCGUUAUCCAGCGACACCAUGCUGAGAUCCAGGUCGGGGAACAAGCAGGCGAAUUGUUCCCGUGCAGCUUCGAAUCCAGCGGCCAGAAUUUGAGCAGAGUUUAGCUUGAGUUCUUCAAUUUGCUUCUGAAGUUCCUCAAUCCGCUUCUUGAGAUCUUCAGUUUGCUCUUUCAGCUCCUUAUUCUGUUGCUCCAGCUCUUCAACCUGUUUCUUGAGUUGUUCAUUGAUCUCUUGAGCCUGGAGAAGGUCUUCAGCAACCUUCUUGGAUUC
rnacentral:lncRNA from 1 species